AGGUGCGAUCAUACCAGCACUAAUGCACCGGAUCCCAUCAGAACUCCGCAGGUAAGCGUGCUUGGGCGAUAGUAGUACUAGGAUGGGUGACCUCCUGGGAAGUCCUCGUGUUGCACUUC
rnacentral:rRNA from 1 species